rnacentral:rRNA from 1 species
UUGAUCCUGGCUCAGGAUGAACUCUAGCGGCAGGCUUAACACAUGCAAGUCGAGGGGCAGCAUGUCCAGCAAUGGAUGAUGGCGACCGGCGGAAGGGUGCGUAACGCGUGAGCAACAUGCCCUAUACAGGGAGAUACACCAGGGAAACUUGGUCUAAUAUCCCAUAGCAUUCAUUGAAGGCAUCUUUAAUGAAUUAAAGCUUCGGUGGUAUAGGAUUGGCUCGCGUGACAUUAGCCAGAUGGUGAGGUAACGGCUCACCAUAGCAAUGAUGUCUAGGGGUUUUGAGAGGAAGGCCCCCCACACUGGGACUGAGACACGGCCCAGACUCCUACGGGAGGCAGCAGUGAGGAAUAUUGGCCAAUGGUCGCAAGACUGAACCAGCCAAGUCGCGUGAAGGACGACGGCCCUAUGGGUUGUAAACUUCUUUUACAGGGGAAUAAAGUGCGCCACGUGUGGUGUUUUGUAUGUACUUUGUGAAUAAGGAUCGGCUAACUCCGUGCCAGCAGCCGCGGUAAUACGGAGGAUCCGAGCGUUAUCCGGAUUUAUUGGGUUUAAAGGGUGCGUAGGCGGGAUGAUAAGUCAGCGGUGAAAGUUUUCGGCUCAACCGGAAAAUUGCCGUUGAAACUGUUGUUCUUGAGUGCAGAAGAGGUAGGCGGAAUUCGUUGUGUAGCGGUGAAAUGCGUAGAUAUAACGAAGAACUCCGAUUGCGUAGGCAGCUUACCAUGUUGCAACUGACGCUGAGGCACGAAAGUGUGGGUAUCAAACAGGAUUAGAUACCCUGGUAGUCCACACAGUAAACGAGGAAUACUAGCUGUUUGCGAUACACUGCAAGCGGCUGAGCGAAAGCAUUAAGUAUUCCACCUGGGGGAGUACGUUCGCAAGAAUGAAACUCAAAGGAAUUGACGGGGGCCCGCACAAGCGGAGGAACAUGUGGUUUAAUUCGAUGAUACGCGAGGAACCUUACCCGGGCUUGAAUUGCAUCUGAAUACAGUGGAAAUAUUGUAGCCAGCAAUGGCAAAUGUGAAGGUGCUGCAUGGUUGUCGUCAGCUCGUGCCGUGAGGUGUAGGCUUAAGUGCCAUAACGAGCGCAACCCUCAUUGUUGGUUACCAUCAGGUAGUGCUGGGGACUCUAACAAGACUGCCGGCGUAAGCUGUGAGGAAGGUGGGGAUGACGUCAAAUCAGCACGGCCCUUAUGUCCGGGGCGACACACGUGUUACAAUGGGGGGUACAGCGGGUUGCUACCUGGCGACAGGAUGCCAAUCUCACAAAACCCUUCUCAGUUCGGAUCGGAGUCUGCAACUCGACUUCGUGAAGCUGGAUUCGCUAGUAAUCGCGCAUCAGCCACGGCGCGGUGAAUACGUUCCCGGGCCUUGUACACACCGCCCGUCA